rnacentral:rRNA from 1 species
GUGACGGUUAACGGGGGAUUAGGGUUCGAUUCCGGAGAGGGAGCCUGAGAAACGGCUACCACAUCUAAGGAAGGCAGCAGGCGCGCAAAUUACCCAAUUCUAACAGCAUAAGAGAGGUAGUGACAAGAAAUAACAGUACAAGGCAGUUAAAAUGUUUUGUAAUUGGAAUGAUAGAAAUUUAAACACUUUUUAAAGUAUCAAUUGGAGGGCAAGUCUGGUGCCAGCAGCCGCGGUAAUUCCAGCUCCAAUAGCGUAUAUUAAAAUUGUUGCAGUUAAAAAGCUCGUAGUUGAAUUUUUGCUGGAAAUAACCGGUCUGCUUUUAUUAAUAAGAGUGGUAUCUUGGUGUGUUUUUAGCAAUAAUGUCCUUUGAAAUGUUUUUUACUUUAUUGUAAGAAGCAAUAUUCAGGAUUUUUACUUUGAGAAAAUUAGAGUGUUUCAAGCAAGCUAACGUUUUGAAUACUGCAGCAUGGAAUAAUAAAAUAGGAUUUUGGUUCUACAUUAUUGGUUUUAAGAACUAAAUUAAG